rnacentral:rRNA from 1 species
CGGGUGCACUGAUCCGGCCGGGCCUUUCCCUCUGUGGAACCCCAUGGCCUUCACUGGCUGUGCGGGGGAAACAGGACUUUUACUGUGAAAAAAUUAGAGUGCUCCAGGCAGGCCUAUGCUCGAAUACAUUAGCAUGGAAUAAUAGAAUAGGACGCGUGGUUCUAUUUUGUUGGUUUCUAGGACCGCCGUAAUGAUUAAUAGGGACAGUCGGGGGCAUCAGUAUUCAAUUGUCAGAGGUGAAAUUCUUGGAUCUAUUGAAGACUAACUACUGCGAAAGCAUUUGCCAAGGAUGUUUUCAUUGAUAAGGAACGAAAGUUAGGGGAUCGAAGACGAUCAGAUACCGUCGUAGUCUUAACUAUAAACUAUGCCGACUAGGGAUCGGACGAUGUUAUUUCUUGACGCGUUCGGCACCUUUCGAGAAAUCAAAGUGCUUGGGCUCCAGGGGGAGUAUGGUCGCAAGGCUGAAACUUAAAGAAAUUGACGGAAGGGCACCACCAGGGGUGGAACCUGCGGCUUAAUUUGACUCAACACGGGGAAACUCACCAGGUCCAGACACAGUGAGGAUUGACAGAUUGAGAGCUCUUUCUUGAUUCUGUGGGUGGUGGUGCAUGGCCGUUCUUAGUUGGUGGAGUGAUUUGUCUGCUUAAUUGCGAUAACGAACGAGACCUCAACCUGCUAAAUAGCCCGUACUGCUCUGGCAGUUCGCCGGCUUCUUAGAGGGACUAUCGG